UUAUUUUCUGUAUGUAUGGUUUGCCCGUGCGCCGUGCCUGCCGUUCGAGCCACCUGGAGGAUUUCCUCAAGUGUUUGAUGUUGUCCUUGACGAGGAUUGCUUCAUGUGGAUGGUGAGUUGUAUCAAUCAUUUCUUUAUAGCUAUAUUUUCUUUGUAGACAUCAAUAUAUCCGUAUAUGUUUACUUAGUUUCUGCAUUUCUUUUGUAUAAUCAUGGCUAAUACGGAACUCGUUGAAUUAAGGGUUCGUUCCCCAUUCUUUGACUAGGUUGUCUUUGUUUGUAGUUAUAUUAAUCAUUUAUUUUAUAGAUUGUGUUAAGGGCAAUUUUCUUGUAUUGGAUUUGUGCAAUUUGUAAAAAGGAUUUUUAUAGGUUGUAUUAAGGAUUAAUGUUGUGUUUACAUUAGAAGUUUUCUUUGUCAGAAAAUAAAAAACAUACUUUCUUUAGUUUACUUGUGUACAAGUUUUAUCUGUAUAAAUUAGAGCUACCCAUGCUUCCCUUUUGAAAUACACUGAUGUAAACACAACAUCAUGAAGUUUUAGUUCUGGUAGUUUUUGGUGAAUUAACUUGUUUUAAUCAGCUUGAAACUGUACUAAUUUUUCCAUAGUUCAUCCUAUGAUUUCUUCUUUUUUGGUACCUUUGUGGAUGUGUAUUUGUAAAAAAUAUGUAUGUGUGAGUUUUAUCUGUAUAUUAAUGUUUUUUUCUAACCAUGAUGUUUUGGCUAGUAUAUCUAGUAUGUCUAGAAAUUUUUAAAGAUAGCAGUACCAUUUGUUAUUUUUUGCAGUUAUUCUUUAUGUGCAAGUUUCAUGUAAGACUAGUAUAAUAUAAUUUUUUAUUACACUAGCUUGAUAUUGUUCUUAAAUUUUCAUAGUCUACCUAUCUGUUUUUUAUAUGUUAAUUAUGUUUUUGAAUUGAUAACUACAACAUCUAUUUUGUUAACUUAUUAUAAGAGCCUAAGUAUGCAUGUAGUGUACAUUUAUAUCUCCCCAAUGUUUUUGCUGCUACAAGUUUAGUUCUCCCUACUUGCAAAUUUUACGGAGGUGUUGUGCCUUAGCCGUUUUCAAUCAGUUUGUAAUUGAACUAGGGGGUAGAUGCUACGUUUAACUUUUCUAAUUAUGUAGACAUGCUAUUUGUACUAUUUUUUUUCAUAUGUUGCUCUUAACCAACAAUUGCAAGUUUAGAUUUAUGUAUAUGCAAGUUUAGUUCGUAUGAAGAAAUUUUUUAAUCUCUGAUUUUAGGGUGGUUUUCUGCUCUACUUGUAGUUCGACAACUUGUAUUACAAACAGGCGCAAUUUUACUUCUUAUGAUUAAAUUUUCAAUUUCUGCCUUUAGGUGGGUGUUCUGCCUUUCUUGUAGUUCAACAUUUUUUGUACAAGUACAAACAUGUUAUUUUUUAGUGUAGUAUGAAUUUGUAUUGUUCAAUUCUCUGAAUUUCUGACAGCAAAUGUACAUUCAAGUGUUCACGCUAUUUUUUUCUAUUUCUGGUUACAUCAUUUUUUUGCUGGGCACUAAAGAGAUAGAAUAUAACUUUUCUAAUUAUGUGUUGUUGUUGAACAACUACUACAAGUUUAGUUCUCCCUACUUGCAAAAUUUACCGAGGUGUUCUGCCUUAGCUGUUUUCAAACAUUUUGUAAUUGAACUAGGGGGGUAGAUGUUACGUUUAACUUUUCUAAUUAUGUAGACAUGCUAUUUGCACUAUUUUUUUAUGUUGCUCUUGACCAACAAUUGCAAGUUCAGAUUUAUGUAUAUGCAAGUUUAGUUCAUAUGAAGAAAUUUUUUAAAUUCUGAUUUUAGGGUGGUGUUCUGCUCUACUUAUUCAACAACUUGUAUUACAAACAGGCGCAAUUUUACUUCUUAUGAUUAAACUUUCAAUUUCUGCCUUUAGGUGGGUGUUCUGCUUUUCUUGUAGUUCAACAUCUUUUAGUACAAGUACAAACAUGUUGUUUUUAGUCAUAAGUUAUAGUAUGAAUUUGUAUUGUUCAAUUGUUUGAAUUUCUAACAGCAAAUGUGUAUUCUGGUGUUGUCACUAUCUUUUUCUAGUUCCAGUUACAUCAUUUUUUGCUGGGCAGUAAAGAGACAUAAUAUAACUUUUCUAAUUAUUUGUUGUUGUUGAACAACUACUACAAGUUUAGUUCUCCCUACAAGAACUUUGGGCAAUCGGAGGAGAAGGACGUAGCAUGGAAGAAAUGGAGAGGAUGGAGAUCUAUCGAGACACAAGAGGGCGGAAGUAUCUGAGUUUUGUUCAGGCGUCCAUGGUGGCGCUGGUGAUGGGGGAAGGAGGGACAAGGAAGAAGACCUAGUUAUAUGUCCGUGAGCUGGAUCCAGAUCUCUGAAGGUAGUGGGUUUGGUUUCUUAGCAGGGUCAGGCCCGUUUAAUUUUGGGUUGUAUAGAUGGCAAAACAUCAAAAGGGGUUUCAGCGCUGGAUCAGUGAUGUUUUUUUUCUUUUGGGCUGAUUCGACUGACGCUUAGUUCGGGUCAGGCAAUUUUCUUUUGCUUUCCAUCAUUCUGCUCUUCUUUAGGAAUCGACUGACACAAUUGUAGAGUCAGUCGAUUGACUUGUAGCCGCUCCCUUUCUUCGCCGGCCUCAUCGCCUCGCGAAGCCCCCGCGUCAGACCUCAACUUGCUUCUGCUGACGCCAUC
rnacentral:lncRNA from 1 species